rnacentral:misc_RNA from 1 species
AAGUCAUAACAAGGUUUCCGUAGGUGAACCUGCGGAAGGAUCAUUAAUGAUGCCCUCGAAGUCCUUGGACUGGUAGGGUUUGUGUCGGUCUCUUCGGAGUCGACCUUAUCUCACACACCGUGAACUGUGGCUUCGGCCAUUUACACAAACUGUUAGUAAUGAAUGUAAUAUCAUAACAAACAUAAAACUUUUAACAACGGAUCUCUUGGCUCUC